rnacentral:rRNA from 1 species
CUAUUAAUAACCCCUAAAAUACCAAACCACCAAAUAAUUAAACCAUUUUUCCCCCUAAGUAUAGGUGACAGAAAAGGAUAUAUACAGAGCCAUAGAAAAAGUACCGCAAGGGAACGCUGAAAAAGAAUUGAAACAAAGCAGUAAAGUUAAAAAAAGCAGAGACUUAUGCUCGUACCUUUUGCAUCAUGAUUUAGCUAGUAAAGACCAAGCAAAAAGCAUUUUAGUUUGACUUCCCGAAACUAAGUGAGCUACUCCAAGACAGCCUGAAAAUCAGGGCCAACCCGUCUCUGUGGCAAAAGAGUGGGACGAUCUUAGAGUAGAGGUGACAGACCUACCGAACUUAGUCAUAGCUGGUUGUCUGAGAAGUGGAUAGAAGUUCAGCCUUUUGGUUUCUCCCCUCCAACUUGCUUAAGCCACAACUGACUUAAAGAAACCAAAAAAGUUAAUUAAAGGGGGUACAGCCCCUUUGACCAAGAUACAACUUCCUUAGAAAGGUAAAGAUCAUAAUCAUCAAGGCAAAACGUUCUAGUGGGCCUAAAAGCAGCCAUCUAUAAGAAAGCGUUAAAGCUCAGACAUACUACGCGACCUACAAUUUAGAUAACUUGUCUAAACCUACUAAUUUUAUCAGACCGCCCCAUGAUUUACAUGGGGGUGAUUAUGCUAAUAUGAGUAAUAAGAAAGUAUUCGUCUUUCUCCUUGCACCUGUGUAAAUCGAAACGGACCUCCCAUCGAACUUUAUCGGCCCCAACAAAAGAGGGAAAUGGGUCAUAACCUUAAUAACAAGAAGAGCGCCCAAGAUAAAACCGUUAACCCCACACUGGUGUGCUUACAAGGAAAGAUUUAAAGGAAAAGAAGGAACUCGGCAAACCCAAGCCUCGCCUGUUUACCAAAAACAUCGCCUCUUGCAGACGUAGUAUAAGAGGUCC